rnacentral:rRNA from 1 species
AAUCAACGCUGGCGGCGUGCCUCAGACAUGCAAGUCGAACGCGAAAGGCUCCUUCGGGGGCCGAGUAGAGUGGCGCACGGGUGAGUAACACGUAGGUAAUUUGCCUUUGGGUGGGGAAUAACUCAGGGAAACUUGAGCUAAUACCGCAUAAUGCAGCGGCUCGACAUCGAGACAGUUGUUAAAGCGGGGGAUCGCAAGACCUCGCGCCUGAAGAGAAGCCUGCGGCAGAUUAGCUAGUUGGUAGGGUAAUGGCCUACCAAGGCGACGAUCUGUAACCGGCCUGAGAGGGCGGUCGGUCACACUGACACUGACAUACGGGUCAGACUCCUACGGGAGGCAGCAGUCGGGAAUUUUGGGCAAUGGGCGCAAGCCUGACC